CUUUUGCUUCUUUUUCUCACCUUGUCCUUCCGGGAGCCCCUGCAGCUGACGCUGAUGUGGGAGUCUCGGGUGUUCCUUCUCGUCUCGCUCCUGACUUGAGAAGGCAGAUUUCAACAUGGAGCAGCAGACUGGAAUGAUGGCUUCUAUCUAUUCCAAAGAACUCCAAUAUUGCCUCAAGUGAAGAGGAAAGCCUCAUAUUUCAAGGCCACUGACUGGAGCCCAUUCACAUGCCACAAGGAGACGGAUGCCGUUGGUUUUUUUUUACGGCAAAGGAAACAGUGAUGUAUUGGAGUCUCAUCACCCCAUCUCUCCAUCAUCACAAGCCAGUCUGGCUUGUGUAGCAGGAUUAAAAUGUUAUGUCUCCCAGUGAGCUAGUGAAUAUCAACACUUUCUCUCUUUCUGUAUGUGUGUCCCUUUUUAGUGGAUAAAGC
rnacentral:lncRNA from 1 species